rnacentral:tRNA from 1 species
AGGCGCGUAGCUCAGCUGGUUAGAGCACCACCUUGACAUGGUGGGGGUCGUUGGUUCGAGUCCAAUCGCGCCUCCCC